rnacentral:rRNA from 1 species
GACGAACGCUGGCGGCGUGCCUAAUACAUGCAAGUCGAACGAGAGCGACCGGUGCUUGCACUGGUCAAUCUAGUGGCGAACGGGUGAGUAACACGUGGGUAACCUGCCCAUCAGAGGGGGAUAACAUCCGGAAACGGAUGCUAAAACCGCAUAGGUCUUCGAGCCGCAUGGCUUGAAGAGGAAAAGAGGCGCAAGCUUCUGCUGAUGGAUGGACCCGCGGUGCAUUAGCUAGUUGGUGAGGUAACGGCUCACCAAGGCCGUGAUGCAUAGCCGACCUGAGAGGGUGAUCGGCCACAUUGGGACUGAGACACGGCCCAAACUCCUACGGGAGGCAGCAGUAGGGAAUCUUCCGCAAUGGACGCAAGUCUGACGGAGCAACGCCGCGUGAGUGAAGAAGGUUUUCGGAUCGUAAAACUCUGUUGUUAGAGAAGAACAAGUGCUAGAGUAACUGUUAGCGCCU